CGUCCCAUAGCUUAAUUUGGUAAAGCGCCCGACUCCUAGUUGGGAAGUCACUGGUUCGAAACCAGUUGGAGACGUCAA
rnacentral:tRNA from 1 species